rnacentral:lncRNA from 10 species
GAACGCAACCAUCACAAAGUAGUUUCUGAGAAUGAUUCUGUCUAGUUUUUAUAUAAAGAUAUUUCAUUUUCUACCAUAGGCCUCAAAGCGCUCUAAAUAUCCACUUGCAAAUUCAACAAAAAGAGUGUUUGAAAACUGCUCUAUGAAAAGCAAUGUUCAACUGUUUGAGUUUAAUGCACACAUCACCAAGCAGUUUCUGAGAAUGCUUCUGUGUAGUUUUUAUGUGAAGAUAUUUUUUUUCCACCAUAGGCCUCAUAUUGCUCCAAAUAUCCACUUGCAGAUUCUACAAAAAGACUGUUUCAAAACUGCUCUGUCAAAAGGAAAGUUCAACUCUGUGAGUUGAAUGCACACAUCACAAGGAAGUUUCUGAGAAUGCUUCUGUC